rnacentral:lncRNA from 1 species
UGCUAUUACAAGCAUUCAUCUCAGAACCUUUACAUUUACAAUAUUACAAAUACCUUUAAAUACCCUUAAGUUCUUACAAAACUUAUACAAUUUUACUACAAGUUUGUUUCUUUCAAUUUGAACUCUGAACUUGACUUCUUCAGGGUAUUGCUAUCUCGGUCUCGGUGGUGGGGCGCUAUCUACGGAACUGCGCCCUGUCCUCGCGCCGCCGCGCCGCUCGCGUGCAACCUGUACCCCCAAAACAACACGGGGGUGAGAACUAUAUAAAUAUAGUUCCCAGUGGGUACGGCCACCCAAGAGAAGAGUUCGACCCAUCAGGUCCAAAGGAGGCAACAGUAGGUUAGUUCAACAAAUAGAUAGAUAGAUAUUUGACUAUGUAACAAAUAAAACCAUACCUUGCCUCGCUACUAUGCAAUAUGCAAUACCUGUAAAUCAUGUAAGUAGAUUACUUGAUUCUACUUUAUAUCAUUAACCGUUCUUUACUUGUAGCCGUUCUUUUCUUUCUUAGCUAGUUUCAUUCAUUAGCUAUUUUCUUUAUUCUUUACUCUUUGUCAAUUUAUGCUCACUGGCGAUUCUUUCCUAAGGUUAUUUUACCUUAGCCAUCUAUGCCACUUGACUCGGUCUUGAGUCAAUCCUUUGGGGAAUACCGCGUGAAGUCAGGCUCAAGGUGAAGGACGUCUCACAAGCACCUCAGCCUUAAGUCUACGCGACACUAGGUCCAUCACAGGGAGAGGAGAACCGUCGAUCCCCGUGACCCUAAGUCGCUCUAGCUUAACGGGCGAGGAGAACCGUCAAACCCGUUAGCUCAUACCGGGAGAGGAGAACCGUCGAUCCCGUUGAAUCACUACCGGGAGAGGAGAACCGUCGAUCCCGUAGUUCUGAUUCACUUGUUUCAUGGCAUACCGGGAGAGGAGAACCGUCGAUCCCGUUGAAUCACUACCGAGAGAGGAGAACCGUCGAUCCCGUAGUUAUGAUUCUAUUCUUGCCAUCAACACCAUUCCUAGGGAUUCCGGAAUCCAUUUUCACAACUUAAGGGUUUUUACUCUUUUACCCUAUGUUGACGACCUUUCUAGGUCUAUACUAUUCACUUUCUAGUGGUCCUAUUACCACUAUAAUUCAUAACUUAGUUUACUUUUACUGAGUGUUUCUUUACAUCAUAACCUAGGUUCAUUUACACUAGGUUUAAUAUUCUUUCUCCUAGAUCUCAACUCUAGGUUUACUUGCUUGACCUAUGUUCAAUGACACUAGGUUAAUGUCCGACCUAUGUUCAAUAACACUAGGUUCAU